CUCUGCUGGAGAGGCUUGAAAUCCAGUGGGAACUUGACUUGAAAGGGCUGUGACCUGCGAGCAGGACACCCCAAAGUGUGCCAUGGAUAUCUCUGUGUCCCCCCUGCAGAUGUAACUCUGAAGGUAUUGGUGUCCAAGGGUAAGUCCAUGCUGGAGAAGAAAUACCUCAGAAUAUCUGUGUAUCUAUGGAUAAGUCUGCGCUGCAGCAGGUGCACCUUUAAACAUUAGUGACUCUGCAUGAAGAUGUGCUGGAGCACCUCAGAGUGUGGCCAUGGAUAAGAGCAGGUGCAUCCCUGCAGGAACUGCAGCCAUGGGUAAGGCCAGGAUGGAUCAGGUAUCUCUGAAGACAUUGUGGCCCACAGGAAAAGGCCACACUGGAACAGCUGCACCUCAAAGCAACUGUGGCUGCAGAUAAGUCUGUGACACAGCAGGUAUGUAUAUCCCUGAAAAGACUCCCAGAUAAAACUUCUAGAGUUUUGCAUUCUCUCUUUAACUUAGAGGAGCAAGUGCUCUACCAUGGGACUACAGUCUGCAGGUAAGUCCAGGCUGGAGAAGGGUUCAUUGACAUGACAAACACUGUGAUCUGGUCCAAAGGGAACAGGGGUGGAGAUUUUGAUGGAAAUACCUUUAAAUUUUUGUAACCCAAGUUUUAAGUUGACUGUUCCAGAAAUUACUAUGGCAGGAACCACCCAAACCAGUGGAGAACAAGUUCUACAGGAAGCAGCUGCAUCCAACCAGAGCUGACUUGGGUUUUCAGUAACUCCAUGGAGCGCACCACCUCUCCUGUCCUGAGUGACCACCAUAGCAGAUGGAGCCCAAAGUCAUGGACUAAAUUAACUCAAUGGACAUUUAAUGGACAUUAGUGGGGAGUGAAGAUGACAGAAAUACUGCAUAUAGUACAGCUGUGCUUUCUUUUGGGGAGUUUAGCAGCUGAGAACAAGACAGCAAAUCAACAUCCUGUGCUCCAGCAAGACCUUGGUCAGCCAGAAACAUGAGCCAUUUCAACCAGGACCACUAUAAUCCUUAGGGGAGUGUGUGCCAUCACAGACCACUCCACCUCCCCAGACCAGGAAGCACAGAACUCUCAUAAAAGCUACUCUGAAGGCAAAAAGCACUUGCUUGUUUUUCCCAGUGAAGGAAGUCAUUAAUGGUUUUUAAAAUACCAGGAAGAUUGUUAAUGGUCUAGAGGAUCUUCCUGAUUGCUCAUUUCAAAGGAAGAAAGGAAGGAAGGAAUUUCUGAGAGAAUUCUGGCCAGAUUUUACAUAUGCUUUCUGCUUGGAGCUUUGCUGAAAGAAUAAUAAAUUGUUUCUUGAUUAAAAAUCUGUAGCAUCUGGAAACUUGACACAAUAUGUUGUAAGCUUUGACUUCAUGCAAAUAAAUAUUAUGAGCUCCAAAAGU